CGCGACCCCAGGUCAGGCGGGAUUACCCGCUGAGU
rnacentral:rRNA from 5 species